ensembl:snoRNA
ACCCUUUUGUAGUAGUUCGUAAGCAAGAUGAUUGUGUUUUCACAAACCUGUGAGAUAUGCCUCCCUCAAACCCUGUUACAAUGUGUGCUCUCUACAUAAAAAGAGA